CUUCAUUUCUUUCCUUCCUCCCGCUCUGUUCCCUGUUAGUUAAAUGCAGGUUUAAUAAGAUGAAUUUCCGCAUCAACCAUCUUUUAUUGAAAAGCUCAUCUGUUCUUGAAAUGUUUAUGCCUCACAUUAGCCAUUCUGAAUGGGUGCUUGCACAAACUGCAAAUAAGAAGUAAGAGCAAAGUAGGAAGUAAAUGGCCAGUUCAGUUUAAGCAAGGAGGAACAUAAUUUUGCUCCAUUGUCCUUCACCUGCAAGCUGCAAAUAAAAAAAUAUUUUCCAUGUAAUGACCAAAACUCUUCUUUACAUGUCACAAUUUGUAUGUUCUCUGUUUAAGCCAACAUGAAAACCAGGCAGCCCCAGGUUGGGCAUCCUGCUGCUUCUCUCAGCCUCCAGUGAUGAUAAUGAGUGUAGAGGGGAGGAGACCGAUAUCCAGAGGGAUUUAGCUGAAGGGGAUCAUGCAGUCCAGGAGAGAGCAAAGUAGAGCUGUGGCACAGAUGAAUCCCUGUGCUUUCUCUAGCAGACAAUUGUAAUACCUACUGUUGGUGUGAAAAAGAAUCUCUUUUCUACUUGCAUUUCCUUUGAAUCGUUGCUACUGAAUGUGACUGGUGCUCUGAAAGUAUGUUACAAAGAGACCUGGCAGGAAGGUGAGAGAAAGCAGGUGACUACUUUCUGUUACUUUGCAUUUAGGGGUGCCACUGUUGCCCACAAGCAGGCAGUGCUUCAGCUUGACAGUUGUUUGAGCUCAGUCUCCUGCAGGAAAUAAAGAAGCCACAAGCAUGACCUUCAUCCCCACAGAAACUCAGAUUUGUUCCUGAGGCCUUCAAGGAAACGAUAAGAUUGAUGAUAACUGAAGAAGAAGAAACAACAUGUAUAUCUAUAAAUGGGAUCCUGAGAGUAUAUCCCAAAUGCACAGCAGUGGGGAAGUAUUAACUUUGCUACUACUGAAUUACAAACAGCAGCCACAGGAAGGAGGAUGCAUGGAUGCUUUCACCUUUCCAUCCCAAGUUUACAAGAAAGAAAGGAGGGGGAAGCCUUGGAGAGCUGUUCCAAAUCUUCAGUCUCAAGACCAACCCUGGAUCCAUGAGGAGUCAGAGCUCUUUUCAGGCUGUAUUAAUUCAUGCUGUAGAGGCAUAAUCCCAGUUGGUCUUGAUGUUGCCAUAGAUGUGAGGAAUUCUUCUUCACCCCUGAGCCUGAUGCAGGCCCCAGUGGAAGAGCAGGAGGCUGAGUGUUGGCUUCAAUGUUCUUCUAGUGUUUUCUUUUCCAGCUGUUUCUAUAAUGCUGCAAAACUCUCCCAAAAUUAUAUUCUACGUCUGUUGCAUGCUUUGAAUCUUAAAAAUCUAAGUGAUAUAUAUUUUAACUGCUUUUUGUUACCUUUCAAUGCAGGAUGGAUGUUGCAUCUUAUGAUAGUUCUGCAUGAGUUGAUUUUUGUAAGAAUUCAGAGUGAAAACUGGAAAAUAUUUUGUGGUUUCACUGAAAGAUUAGAAAUAGAGACUUAUAGUCCAAGUGGCUCAAUUUUAUUUCAGGUUUAUUUACAGAGGCUGAGAUAUUUGCAGUGGUUAUCAUGAUAAUACUCUUUUCAGUUUCUGGGCUAUUCUGUAGCCAGUUGAUUAAAUCAGGGAGAAAGAAAUGAAAGUGAAAACGCAAUAAACCUAUUUUUUCUCCAAAUGAGAAAGCCACAGCAUCCAAAUUCUUGCGCUAGACAUUCUAGCGAUAAGCUUCCUGACUCACAGUGACAAAACUCAGCCCUAAUAAAGGACUGCCGUGCAAUUAGAGUCAUCUUGUGAAGAUUAAACUGCUCUGCCCUCUGGGAAACACUGCUUUUAUCUCAUUAAGGAUUCUUGCCACUUUACAAUUAAUAAAACACAAAAGAUUCACCUCUGUUGCAGAUAGAAGAUAACUGGAGAAUGGCAGCCAGACAAAGGCUCACCUGCAUCCAUAUGGAUGCCAAUAGCAGUGAGCUACCAUCACCUGCCCUGGUUGCAGGAAAUUAUGUGACUGGCUCCCACCAGAGUGUUUUAGACCUCUGUGACAGGACUGAAAUGGCAGCAACUAUAAUAAAAAGAGGAUUUUUUUUCUUUUUGCCCUACAAAUAGUUUUAGUUCUGAAGGGUGUUUUGUGACAGUUUAAUCUAGAGAAUACUCUCCAUCUCCUUUUCACAUUUUGACUGACUUUGUGAUGGAAAGCGUUUGAAAAUGCAGACUAUGCUUCUUAAAAUUAUCUCGUAUUGUGAGGAGGUGAGCAUGGACUUUGAUACUGUAUCCCCCAAAUCAGCAGGUUGUUGACACUUUCUCACAUCUUCCUUUUGCCAUUAUAAUCCAAAGGAGGUCUGCACUCGUACUGAUUUCACUAUAGGUUUACCAUGCAUGAGGUUGUAGCAAAAGACUAGACUUAAUCUCUGCUGCUGACAGUACAGAUACUUGGAGCAAGGCACUAAAUCUUGGCUUGAUGGCUUGUGAGAAGUAGUAGAUCAAGCCAAAUAUAGUUCAGCCUGGUGAGGAACUAUUGCUUUGAAUUUGAUAACACCUAUUACAAAGCAUUGACUUAUUCCUGCCAGUUGCAGGAAGGUGCUGCCUGUGCUUAGAACGUGAUGCUGUGGUGCAGUGUGUGAGGUGGAGUAAUCACUGGGAAGGAAGGAGGAAAAUGCAGUCCAGGAUUUAAAAUGCAAGUAUACUCCUGUGAUCUAGAAUGGGUUAAUGGUAGUGGCCAUCUUUACAGUGAUUCUUAUGAGAUCUAGAUGAAAUUUCAACUGCCUACUGUGAGGAUUUUGAAUCACUUGAAUGAAAAAUGUAGCCUUAAAUAAACACUAGAGUGUCCCUGUUUCUUAUACUAUUGGAUUUCUGCAAACUUCAAAUCAUUCAGAUAGUCUUAAAAUUCUGGUAAAGAGUAAAUGCAUGAGACAACAUAUAGUAUAGUACGAAGGUUCUUGUAGAGAAAGAAGAUUUGGUUCCUUAAACCUGCACCUGGGACACCAGUGAGACAAGUGUUUGAAAAUUUAUCCGUCUUCCUUUGCUGAGAGAAAGGACUAAGAAGAGCAUAUAGGUGAAAUGUAUUCAUUCUGAGAUGAUUUCAGCUAAGUAUAUACAGUUUCCUCCUCCUUCCAUUCAAGUUUUGCUAUUUGUUAAAAUACGAAUUAGAAGACAGAGACAAUAUCUUGAAGUUUUCACAAUGCAAAUAGGCAAUGCAAGCAGGGCAAUACUGCCUUUCAAUGUGCUUGUAGGUAUACAGCUUCUUUCUAGAAAUGAGAUGUGAAAUGUUAUAUGAAACGUUGCGUGUGUUUGAACUGUGGCAGGAGAUCAUCUGACUUCCUUGAGGAAACUACGGAUUUUUAACAGGCUUUUGUUACAAUGAUGGCAACAAGAAAAACCAAAAUGGUAAAUGAGCAACUUCUGUGGUUCUUAAUCCUGCUCUAUUUCUCUUUGUAAGCCCAAGGUUGAUAGCAUGACUGAUAACUAGCACUGGGCAGCAAGGAAUUUUCUAUAAAGAGGCUGAAAUAUGCCUUGUGGUAGGCAUAGGCAUUUUGGAUGACAUUAAUUAGAAUAAUGAAUGACAUGGCAGAUAAUUGACACACCAGAUGCUUAUGUCUUCUACCAUUCAUUCACUGCCUGCCAAUUCAGAUUGCAUCUAAAGAUCAUUUCAUUUCCUGCUGGCACCCGAUGUAUACAAACAAUUAGCACUGUGCAAUGCCUUUUAGGUCUUUUGGUUACAUGCUGAGUUAAUUGCUGGUAUGUUUUGAUGGCCACCACAGUGCUAUCCUUAUGUGAAAAAAACGUUGUUAUUUUUAAACUGGAAGUGGGACACUUCAUGGGAGCUUAUUCUGUAUUUAAUUUCUGUUAGAACUUAAGUAACUUAUGUAAGAACUAUUAAGAAAAGAUAUUUUUCUUACACCUCCUCUUCUCUGGACCUUCCGCAUGUUUGAUCUAACCCUCAGGACACAGCUGUUCCAACAAACUGUGUAGGAAAAGUUUUGCUUUUGUUAUACUUGUCUUUGAGUGUCAUCAAAUAUCUGGCCUUUUAAUUGCUCUUUACUUCCAGGAGUAAUAGAAUCAAUAAGUGCAGUGUUCAAGUAAUAUUGCUUUCUCUCCAAAGAAAUGGAAGUUUUUAAAAGUUCCUAACCAUGAGAUCAUCAUUUCUGUAUAUUCUUAUAGUGCUUUUAAGGAGACUUUUCAACUUGUAAAAAUAGCGCUAUAUUAUUUUAGAUUUAGAUUUAUUUUGUGCCUCUCUCUCUUUUUUUUUCUUAGCUUUUUUUCUAAUUUCUAGACAUAUUUAUUGUAAAGAAAACUGC
ensembl:lncRNA